AGGGAAGAUCGAGCCAGUAGUCCUGCCAUUGCUGUGGUUCGAACAGAGCGGGAUGAUGGGUGGCAAGACCCUGAACACGUUCUACACGCAGCUGGUGCUGAUGCCCCAGGUUCUUCACUACGCGCAGUAUGUGCUGCUGGGGCUUGGAGGCCUCCUGCUUCUGGUGCCCAUCAUUUACCAACUGCGCAGCCAGGUAAGUAGGCGGGACGGCCACGCCUGGGACUCUGCUCCGGUUGCAGCCGGCAUUUAUCUCCUGCAGCUAGCUCUCUCUGUUCUACCUGUCUGUCGCAUCCUGCACUAACUUUUCUCUACAAGUCCUGGAAGUCCCAGGACCCUCCCGGGUGGGUGCUGAGCUGAGACAGGUACGCAAGCCAUUUGACCAGCAAGUGGGUGCACUGUGUGAAGUGCCUGCUGAAGGUGGAGGUGGGGACUGGGGGGGGUGGCCUGGUUAGCAAAGCAAAUGAAAGCCAAGAAGAGAAAAGAUCAUUUUGGGGUUGGAGAUUUAGCUCAGUGGUAGAGCGCUUGCCUAGCAAGCACAAGGCCCUGGGUUCGGUCCCCAGCUCUGAAAAAUAGAAAA
rnacentral:lncRNA from 1 species